AGCGAACGCUGGCGGCAGGCCUAACACAUGCAAGUCGAACGAACCUUUCGGGGUUAGUGGCGGACGGGUGAGUAACACGUGGGAACGUGCCUUUAGGUUCGGAAUAACUCAGGGAAACUUGUGCUCAUACCGCAUGUGCCCUUCGGGGGAAAGAUUAAUCGCCUUUAGAGCGGCCCGCGUCUGAUUAGCUAGUUGGUUGAGGUAAUGGCUCACCAAGGCGACGAUCAGUAGCUGGUCUGAGCGGAUGAUCAGCCACAUUGGGACUGAGACACGGCCCAAACUCCUACGGGAGGCAGCAGUGGGGAAUCUUGCGCAAGGGGCGAAAGCCUGACGCAGCCAUGCCGCGUGUAUGAUGAAGGUCUUAGGAUUGUAAAAUUCUUUCACCGGGGACGAUAAUGACGGUACCCGGAGAAGAAGCCCCGGCUAACUUCGUG
rnacentral:rRNA from 1 species